CUCCGCGCCCGGUUGACCUGCGCGGCCGGGCGUGCGAGGCCCCAGGCUCGUCCCGAGUUUGAGCUCCUUCGCAGGCAGGCCUUGGCCGACGACUCCCUUCCCCCACGCAACAAGAGUGGUUUUAACCUCGCGUGCCUCGAACAGUGUUUAGGGCUCCAAGUGCCAGGUUUCAGGAAACCUCAGCUCCACCAGAUACUUACCGUUAGUCGGAGUACACGCGGGGGGCGCCCAUCCCGCGGCUGCAGUGUUUCUCAGUGUGGCUUCCCGGACCCGCACUAACAGCAGCACUCGGGAGAGUGUUAGAAAUGUAGACGCCAGGACCCACAGCAGAUGGAUGUACAGAGAUAACCUCAGACUCUAGGGUGGAGCCCAGCAAUUUGAGUUUUAAAAGUCUUCUUGUUGAGCUUGGUGUGGUAGAGCAUACCUGUCAUUUCAGCACUUUGUGAUGCUGAGGCAGGAGGAUCAGAAGAUUGAGCCCGCCUGUAUGAUUUAAGGGAAAAAAAUGUUUUUUAAAAAACAAGGUCUUGCUAUGUAGCCUAGGCUGGCCUUGAAUUUGGGGCAAUCUUGCCUCAGCCUCCAGGGCUGUUAUUACAGGCGUGGGCCAUCAUACCCAGAUUAAUUUAUAUAUACGUGUAUGUGUGUGUGUGUGUGUGUGUGUGCGUGUAGGGGCUGGGGAUUUAGGUCAAUGCAGAGGCCUUGGAUUCAAUCCCCAGUGCUGCAAAAAUAAAGUCUUCCUGGUGAUUUUGGUGCACAUUCAACUUUGAGAAUCAUUGAACAAGUAGUGGUGGAGCUAGAAUUACAAUCUAGGUAAUUGUAAUUACCAGCACCCAUGGCCGCUCAUGGCCCUCUCCAGCCCUGUGAUUUUGUGAUGUAAUCUUGUGGGUCCUUGGUCUUGGAGAAGUGACUGGAAAGGGUUGGGGGAGCCAUUGGAGGAUUAACAGUUGAAUGAAAAUGAUAUUAUCUUCUAAUCUGGGACCUCAUGGUAGAGCUGAACUAUUCAUAAGGAGGCCAGAGAAGAUGUUGUGUGAGGGAGUCUAGAGAGAAGGCCAGCAGAAUGUUGGAAGAAAGGUUUGCCCAGCUACACUAGAAGAGGACAGGGAAGGUCGACAUUCCCUCAGGAGUGCAAAGGGAAGCGUUGCUCACUCUUGGCAUGGUCACCCAUCUCCCCAAUUUUAAGCAGCCAAGGAAUCUGCUCUCCUUCCACCAACUCCCUUUCACACUGGAGACUAGGAGGAGGUUUAAGCUUCUGAAGAGAUAUUUUCUACUGAGCUUCCUCAGUUUUCCUCUUUAGCCCUUUUACAGACUCUUGGGCCAUCCUAACACACUGUUCCAGCUGUACCUGUUCAUGUGACUUGCCUUACUCAAUGGCUCUUUUUUCCAGGACAAAGGCAUUUCCUGCUAAAGACCAUGGAACACUGCCCCUCAGUUCUCUUUUCUUGGGAACUAGAUGCUUCCUGUAUGGUUUGACCCUCAGACAUGUGAUCCAUAGUCAGGACCUAACCUGACUUGAGUGGGAGGAUGUUUAGUAAUAUUUUCCCAGGUACGAUCAAGAACAACAGAAAAGUAGCAUCUAGAGGCUGAUUCGUUUGAUGUAACUGGUUCUGAAAAGAGCAGCUGUCUGAAGAAAAAGAUGUCAUAUUUUUAAAUUUCAAGAAGACCUGCUGGGAAAUACAUGAUAAAACACUGCUUCACUUUAUUUUCCAUUCACAUACUAUAGUUUAACUUGACGUUAUCUGAAAAAGUUCCAUCACAGGUUCGUGGUACAAGGACACGGAAGCAUCGCUGCCAAUCUGACGACUGCCAAGUGGUGUUGCUUGGAGGAGGCCUAGAUGGAAUGACCAGAUGAGUCUCUCCAGUCUUCCUAACCAGUGGUCCUAUUUUAUUUUGAUUUUGCUGCCUUCAAUUAUGUCACUGUUGUUCCUUGCAUUUCAUUUUGCUAUGCCAAAAUGCUAUGUAAGCUACCCUUUGCUGGUGUAGGUUAUCUCUGGAAGGUGAGUUGCUGGCGCUUCUUGAGGGGCUCCGGGCCGCACCUUCCUCCGGAGUCCUCCAGCAGAAACCACCGGCCGGAGCUCGCGCCCUGAGUCCCGCGCAGGGACCCUACCUGGGCCACUGCAAGGUCACUGCGAGGCACCUGCACCACCGGCCCCAGGUGACUGCCCAAGAUUUUUUUUUUAAUACAAUCAAGUACUGUACUACUCUGCCACAAAGGAUAACCUUGAGACAUUUCUAGCUAAAUGGAUGCACUUUGAGACCAUACUCUUCAGUGAGAUAAAUAGGACACACAUAACUACCACAUUGUUUCCCUGGUGUGGGAAACUGAAAGUGAAAAUAAGGACCAAAAUGUACAGUAGAUAUUGGGAAAUGUUCAAGAAAAUGUUCAAAUGGGAAGGAGAACAAGGGAGGGGGGAGGGGGAAGGGAAGGAAGGGAGAGAAAAAAAUAAGAAGGAAAAAAUUGAAACAAAGCUUUUUUUGUAAAUAAGGAG
ensembl:lncRNA